rnacentral:rRNA from 1 species
GAGNGAGCUUACCAUGCAAGUCUACUUGAUCCUUCGGGUGAAGGUGGCGGACGGGNGAGUAACGCGCCCCCUUNNANNGCCUUACAGACUGGGACAACAUUUGGAAACGAAUGCUUUUACCGGAUAUUAUGACUGAGUCGCAUGAUUUGGUUAUGAAAGCUAUAUGCGCUGUGAGAGAGCUUUGCGUCCCAUUAGUUAGUUGGUGAGGUAACGGCUCACCAAGACGAUGAUGGGUAGCCGGCCUGAGAGGGUGAACGGCCACAAGGGGACUGAGACACGGCCCUUACUCCUACGGGAGGCAGCAGUGGGGAAUAUUGGACAAUGGACCAAAAGUCUGAUCCAGCAAUUCUGUGUGCACGAUGAAGUUUUUCGGAAUGUAAAGUGCUUUCAGUUGGGAAGAAGUCAGUGACGGUACCAACUNAAGAAGCGACGGCUAAAUACGUGCCAGCAGCCGCGGUAAUACGUAUGUCGCAAGCGUUAUCCGGAUUUAUUGGGCGUAAAGCGCGUCUAGGCGGUUUAGUAAGUCUGAUGUGAAAAUGCGGGGCUCAACCCCGUAUUGCGUUGGAAACUGUUAAACUAGAGUACUGGAGAGGUAGGCGGAACUACAAGUGUAGAGGUGAAAUUCGUAGAUAUUUGUAGGAAUGCCGAUGGGGAAGCCAGCCUACUGGACAGAUACUGACGCUAAAGCGCGAAAGCGUGGGUAGCAAACAGGAUUAGAUACCCUGGUAGUCCACGCCGUAAACGAUGAUUACUAGGUGUUGGGGGUCGAACCUCAGCGCCCAAGCUAACGCGAUAAGUAAUCCGCCUGGGGAGUACGUACGCAAGUAUGAAACUCAAAGGAAUUGACGGGGGACCCGCACAAGCGGUGGAGCAUGUGGUUUAAUUCGACGCAACGCGAGGAACCUUACCAGCGUUUGACAUCCCAAGAAGUUAACAGAGAUGUUUUCGUGCCUCUUCGGAGGAACUUGGUGACAGGUGGUGCAUGGCUGUCGUCAGCUCGUGUCGUGAGAUGUUGGGUUAAGUCCCGCAACGAGCGCAACCCCUUUCGUAUGUUACCAUCAUUAAGUUGGGGACUCAUGCGAGACUGCCUGCGAUGAGCAGGAGGAAGGUGGGGAUGACGUCAAGUCAUCAUGCCCCUUAUACGCUGGGCUACACACGUGCUACAAUGGGUAGUACAGAGAGCUGCAAACCUGCGAGGGUAAGCUAAUCUCAUAAAACUAUUCUUAGUUCGGAUUGUACUCUGCAACUCGAGUACAUGAAGUUGGAAUCGCUAGUAAUCGCAAAUCAGNUAUGUUGCGGUGAAUACGUUCUCGGGUCUUGUACACACCNUNAAGUGGCACCACGAGAGUUGGUUGCACCUGAAGUAACCAGGCCUAACCGUAAGGAGGGAUGUUCCAGGGUGU